AUUAUAAUUAAAAAAAAAUAAUGGUAUCCUAUGUUAAAAAAGCCUAUAUAUAAUAUGAUGUAAUAAAACUAUCUCAAAUUUUUCUAUCGAUGGGAUCCUACUUAAUUUUUAAAAUCAAGAGAUUUGACAGGAAAAUCAUCACCUCCUCCCCCCUCCUCUUCUGAAGAAUGGUCAAUAAUUCAUUAUCACCCUUACAGCUUUAUGAAAAUGAUACACUAUGGUACCGGGGCACUUUGAAUCUUUGUUUUUUUUAUCAUGUUUGUAAAUAUAUAUCAAGAGAAAACUAUAUCAUUAUGUGUAGUAUAGAAGUAUGGUAUCUUUAAAUAGCAAUGUCUUUAUUUUUCAGAUAUUCCAACAUGGCGCUCAGUAAUUCCAGCAUGUGGAAAGAGAUGUUUCUUUGUAGAAAGUCACAAAAAACGUGUGAACCAACAAAAAUGAUGUGAUGAAAGUCAACAAAGAGAAUUUAUUGUAGCCAGGUGUCAUUUUAGUUUAAUGUUAAUAUUAUUUUAUGUUUAAAGAGAUGUAUAAGGGCUUGUUUAAUUAAACAUGAUGCAACAAAUGAAAUCAGACUUCAGAAUAUGGGCUAUUUGAUCUAAUAUCAAUUUGGUCUUGUUUCAUUAUGGUCUAUGCUACACCUGGUCUAAUACCCACUUACUGUACACUGCAAAAAACGCUAGUGUUAAUUUAACACCAGCCUGGUAUCUAUAAUCCGUCCACCCCAGAGAGGUGUUGAAACAAAUGUUAAAUUAACACUGGCGUUUUUGCAGUGUAAUUUACAUUCAGUCUAAUGCCCUGUUAUUCUAAUAUCCACUUAUCUAAUAUCUACUUAUUAUUUCUUACUGCAUCGAAUGAAAGUUCGGUUCAUAAACAGUUAUUCUAACAACGUAAACUUAAAGUUAAAUACCAGUUGUGGUAACAAUCUCAAAAUGAAAUCGAACAGAAUCCAAUGAAUUUACCACCAAAGUGUUUGUAUGUAUAAGUAAAAAAUAUAUGCCAAAUAGCUCUGGAAGAAAAUGUGUAAUUACUGAGAAAUGAGAAAAACAAGCACGGAAUUCCAUCAAAUAUCGGGUAUUUUUCGGAGCAAUAUUAAUACACUGUCCCUUCUACGCUUUUCUGCGUCAGUGAUCAUACGAAUUAUCGAUUUUGAGCUCAUAUUUUCAUGAUUUUACAAAGAUAAGUUUACAUUAAUGUACCAGAUUAUGAUGUAUGAUGAUAUUUUGACAAUUAACCUUGAUUUAACAGACUUUAUCAUGAAAUAAUUGUUUUCUGCAACUACUGUCUUUUACCUUUAAUGGUAUUAGAACAAGUGAAUAUUAGACCAAAUGGAUGUAGCCUAACUGGAAAUGAAGACAAAAUGUGGUCAAAAUGGCAAUUAGACCAAAUGGUUAUUAGAUGAAUUUCUUAUAUGCGACGUAGGAUUAGACCUAACGGAAAAGAGACAAAGUGGGUGUAGCCCAAGUGGCAAUUAAUUCAACUGAAUUUACCAAAUGGCUAGUAGACAAACUAGGAUUAGACCAUGUGGAUGAGACCAAAUGGAAACUAGACAAAGUGAGUGUAGCCCAAGUGGCAAUUUACCUCAUCAUACCUGAACACUGAAAAAAAAAAUGCUGAGCAUUGUUGCAUCAUAUAUGAACAAGGCCUUUAAAAUUGUAUUCCACAUGAUCAUAAUGUAUUACACAUCUUUAUUGCUUCAUGUAUUUAAUCCUCUCUGUCAAAGAUGCAGUAUUAAAUUGGAUCUCAAUGUAAGCUGAACUUG